rnacentral:rRNA from 1 species
UACGGGGGGGGGCAAGCGUUGUUCGGAAUUACUGGGCGUAAAGAGCUCGUAGGUGGUUUGUCGCGUUGUUCGUGAAAACUCACAGCUCAACUGUGGGCGUGCGGGCGAUACGGGCAGACUAGAGUACUGCAGGGGAGACUGGAAUUCCUGGUGUAGCGGUGGAAUGCGCAGAUAUCAGGAGGAACACCGGUGGCGAAGGCGGGUCUCUGGGCAGUAACUGACGC